GACGAACGCUGGCGGCGCGCCUAACACAUGCAAGUCGAACGGAGUCAAGAGGAGCUUGCUUUUCUUGACUUAGUGGCGCACGGGUGAGUAACGCGUGAGUAACCUGCCCUGGAGUGGGGGACAACAGUUGGAAACGACUGCUAAUACCGCAUAAGCCCACGGAUCUGCAUGGAUCUGCGGGAAAAGGAUUUAUUCGCUCUAGGAUGGACUCGCGUCCAAUUAGCUAGUUGGUGAGGUAACGGCCCACCAAGGCGACGAUUGGUAGCCGGACUGAGAGGUUGAACGGCCACAUUGGGACUGAGACACGGCCCAGACUCCUACGGGAGGCAGCAGUGGGGGAUAUUGCACAAUGGGGGAAACCCUGAUGCAGCGACGCCGCGUGGAGGAAGAAGGUUUUCGGAUUGUAAACUCCUGUCGUUAGGGACGAUAAUGACGGUACCUAACAAGAAAGCACCAGCUAACUACGUG
rnacentral:rRNA from 1 species